GACGAACGCUGACGGCGUGCUUAACACAUGCAAGUCGAAGGGAGUGGCGAACGGGUGAGUAACACGUGAGUAACCUGCCCUUUUCUUUGGGUUAAGCCUGGGAAACUGGGUCUGAUCCUGGAUGGAUUGGGAUGGGCUCGCGGCUUAUCAGCUUGUUGGUGGGGUUAUGGCUUACCAAGGCUUUGACGGGUAGCCGGCCUGAGAGGGUGGUCGGUCACACUGGGACUGAGAUACGGCCCAGAGUCCUACAGGCGGCAGCAGUGGGCGAUGUUGUACCAAGGAGGAAAGUCUGAUGCAGCGACGUCGUGUGGGGGAUGAGGGCCUUCGGGUUGUAAACUCCUUUCGCCAGCGGAAGGGUAGUGGAUAAAGAAGCGACGGCUAACUACGUGCCAGCCGCCGCGGUAAUAC
rnacentral:rRNA from 1 species